rnacentral:lncRNA from 1 species
CCUCCACCAGUCUUACACACUGCUUUUGGAUAACUUUAUGCUGCUUCACUCCUGGUGCAAAAAUUCAAGCUUGGUUUGAUGGCUUUUUCCCCUUGAUUAUAUUCCAGAGGUUUUUUUAUUUGUAAAAAUGUAUUUAUUUAUUUGUUUAUAUUCAGAAACAGCUGUUUGUCUGUGUAACACGUGACCUGCUCCACCCCUGUGUUUAUAGUCCCCCACGUGGUCCUCGCGUGCCUGAGGAGCAGAAGUCACGUGACCUCCGCACCCAUAACUUUCCCAACAUGAGGAGAAAAAGGGGAAGAACUACAUAAACUACCUCAAACUCCCUCAGACUGCGACUUUCUCUCUGUUUCUGGCCUUCACAGCCCUCAGGGUGAGGCGAGUUUGCUGUAAUCUUCCACAGACGAGAUCUCGGCUACUGUAGGUCAGGUUACGCAUGUUCCGGAGUGAAAAGGCACCUGUGGUCCCACCUGGACCCACAGAACAGGAAGUGAAUAAACACAUCCAGUCCACCGUACCCAAAGAGACGAAAGUAGAGAACAAGGAAAAUGCUGGUGGAGCUGGUGUCAACCCCCACAACAAGAGCUCUGGGAUGAUGGGUGCACUGGAAAAGAUGAAUCCGUUCAAGUCUUCCCCACAGAGCUCGUUAUCAGAGAGUAAAUCUCCUCCAACUGGGGAAAGUGAUGGGGGCGGAGUUAAAGAACCGAGUCAGAACACCGGGAUGGUAAGCGGAUUUAUUCAGAUGGUCAACCCGUUUAAGUCGUCUUCACAGGUUUCAAAAUCCAGCAGUCAGUCUUCCCUCACUGGAAAGAGUGGAGAGAAUAAAACCUCAGAACCUGCACAGAACCCUGGACUGGUUCUGGGACUGAUUCAGAAAGUGAACCCAUUCAGGACUUCACAGAACCCAAACAAUGGCCUUCCCUCCCAGAACACAGACAGAACCCAGCAGAGUGCUGACGUAGCUGAAGGUGUGAAGCAGGCCGUCAGUAUGAAUAAAGACACGCUUCAGGAAUCUGAUUUAAAGUCCGUAUUUCCUUCAGUUCAGAACGAUGAGGAUCCAGCAGCAGAUCAGGUCUGUAUUACAUGGUUUGCUAUUUUGUGUUGAGUUAUUUUGUAUAAACUUUAAAAUUAAAGGAGCA